rnacentral:sRNA from 1 species
GCUGAGCUUGGUGGUACACGCCUGUAAUCCCAGCAGCUUGGGAGGCUGAGACUGGAGAAUCUCAGGGUUCAGCAAAGGUGAGGUGCUAAGCAACUCAGUGAGACCCUGUCUCUA